rnacentral:rRNA from 1 species
UACGUAGGGUGCAAGCGUUAAUCGGAAUUACUGGGCGUAAAGCGUGCGCAGGCGGUCGUGCAAGACAGAUGUGAAAUCCCCGGGCUUAACCUGGGAACUGCAUUUGUGACUGCACGGCUGGAGUGCGGCAGAGGGGGAUGGAAUUCCGUGUGUAGCAGUGAAAUGCGUAGAUAUGCGGAGGAACACCGAUGGCGAAGGCAAUCCCCUGGGCCUGCACUGACGCUCAUGCACGAAAGCGUGGGGAGCAAACAGG